rnacentral:rRNA from 1 species
CCUACGGGAGGCAGCAGUGGGGAAUAUUGGACAAUGGGCGAAAGCCUGAUCCAGCCAUGCCGCGUGUGUGAAGAAGGCCUUCGGGUUGUAAAGCACUUUCAGUGGGGAAGAAAGCCUUGGGGCUAAUACCCUCGAGGAAGGACAUCACCCACAGAAGAAGCACCGGCUAACUCCGUGCCAGCAGCCGCGGUAAUACGGAGGGUGCGAGCGUUAAUCGGAAUUACUGGGCGUAAAGCGCGCGUAGGCGGUCUGAUAAGCCGGUUGUGAAAGCCCCGGGCUCAACCUGGGAACGGCAUCCGGAAACGGUCAGGGAGAAGGGCGGGAGAGAAAGGUAGAAUUCCCGGGGUAGGGGGGAAUGGGGGAGAGACCGGGAGGAAUCCCGGGGGGGAAGGGGGCCUUCGGAACUGACCCGGACGCUGGGGUGCGAAAGCGGGGUUAGCAAAAAGGAUUAGAAACCCUGGUAGUC